UGGCGUGGCCUAAUAUACACUUCUUAAUACUGUGGAUGCUACGCACAGGAGUGGAAAGAGGCGUACCAUUUCUGAAAUGAAAAGGUUACUUAAAUUAAGUUUACUAAUUGCAGUUAUAUGGUCAACCGCUGAAACAUAUGUUACUUACAGAAAAGGUGAUUGUCCAGAUGGUAAAGAGGCUGGUGACGUAUGGUUUACAGAUGACUGUACCCGUUGCGUCUGUGAAGAGAAUAGCUUUAUCUGUGAAAAAUGCUCCAAAGAAUACACCAGUGAUCGAAUGGGGUGCUACAUGGUGAAACUUGAUGUGGAAGGAGCUAAGUAUCCAAUAUGCUGUGUGCAUUAUGUUCCCGUAUGUCCGAACGAUCCCAACUUUAGCCAAACGAAAUACGAACAAUAUAUGGCAAACUUUAAUGCACAUGUAUUAAAAUAAUGAAUUUACAGUGAACGCAAUAAAAAAAGACCGACCCAUAUUUCGUGUUCAU